rnacentral:tRNA from 1 species
AAUUAAGUAACAAAUUAUUUGUUUUUCAAUUUCGACUUGAGAAUUUAGGAAUUAUUCCUCUUAAUUA